UACGGAGGGGGCUAGCGUUGUUCGGAAUUAUUGGGUUUAAAGGGUGCGUAGGCGGCCUAUUAAGUCAGUGGUGUAAUAUUUCAGCUUAACUGGAAUUGUGCCAUUGAUACUGAUGGGCUUGAGUACAGAUGAGGUAGGCGGAAUUGACGGUGUAGCGGUGAAAUGCUUAGAUAUCGUCAAGAACACCUAUAGCGAAGGCAGCUUACUAGGCUGUAACUGACGCUGAGGCACGAAGGCUAGGGUAGCGAAAGGG
rnacentral:rRNA from 1 species